AUUGAACGCUGGCGGCAGGCCUAACACAUGCAAGUCGAGCGGAGCGGCGGACGGGUGGGUAAUGCCUAGGAAUCUGCCUGGCAGUUGGGGAUAAAUUCCGGCAACGGGCGCUAAUACAGCAUACUUGCAAUUGAGUCUAGGUGGGCUUAGCUAGUUGGUGGGGUAACGGCCUACCAAGGCGACGAUCCGUAACUGGUCUGAGAGGAUGAUCAGUCACACUGGAACUGAGACACGGUCCAGACUCCUACGGGAGGCAGCAGUGGGGAAUAUUGGACAAUGGGCGAAAGCCUGAUACAGCCAUGCCGCGUGUGUGAAGAAGGUCUUCGGAUUGUAAAGCACUUUAAGUUGGGAGGCGUUACCAACAGAAGAAGCACCGGCUAACUUCGUGCCAGCAGCCGCGGUAAUUC
rnacentral:rRNA from 1 species